CCCUUAGAUGUUCUGGGCUGCACGCGUGCUACACUGAUUAUUUCAACAAGUGUUUUAACUGGAGAGUUCGCGUAAUCCUGAAAUGUUAUCGUGAUGGGAGUAGAGUAUUGUAUUUGUUAAUCUUUAACGAGGAAUUCCUAGUAAGUGUAGGUUUAUAAGUUGUUCUGAUUACGUCCCUGCCCUUUGUACACACCGCCCGUCACUCCUACCGAUUGAUUGAUCCAGUGAAUUACAUAGAAUUUUGCGUUUUACAUGACGGAAGACGAAGUGUUUUAAACCUUAUCAUUUAGAGGAAGGAGAAGUCGUAACA
rnacentral:rRNA from 1 species